rnacentral:misc_RNA from 1 species
GCUGAAGAACGCAGCGAAAUGCGAUACGUAAUGUGAAUUGCAGAAUUCAGUGAAUCAUCGAAUCUUUGAACGCACAUUGCGCCUGCCAGCACUCUGGCAGGCAUGCCUGUUCGAGCGUCAUUUCAACCAUCAAGCCCUAGGCUUGCGUUGGAGCCCUGCGGCUGCCGCAGGCCCCUAAAGGCAGUGGCGGGCUCGCUAUCACACCGAGUGCAGUAGAUUACUCUUCGCUCAGGGCGUGUGGCGGGUUCCAGCCGUGAAACCCCCUACUUUUAAAGGUUGACCUCGGAUCAGGUAGGAAUACCCGCUGAACUUAAGCAUAUCAAUAAGCGGAGGA